rnacentral:lncRNA from 1 species
GGAGUCUGGAGACGACGAUCAGGUAGGGAGGCUUGGGCCUUGAGAAUCGUGCGGCAUCCUUUGGCCAGGGCCGUCUGCGGGAUCGGGGCCGGCGUCUGUGCGCAGUAGCCGAGCCAAGUGCGUGGUGGAGACGAGCAGGCGCCCGCCCGGCCCGACCCAUCCGGACCCAGGGCUCCGCCGUGUCCCGGUGGCGGCCUCUGGCCUGAGAUGGAGGAAAUCGGGAGUGGGGUUGGGAAUGGGUGCGGGUCCUGCCCUGGGCCUCUCGCCACAGCCGUCGCACGGAGUGGUUCGGGGGAGCCGGUCCUUGAUCGCGUGCGGGCAAUCGCCGGCCUGCACCGAACCUCGUUCCUCUCGUGAAAACCCCGAACCGAUCCCCUCUGUAAAUCAAAAUUAAAUUAAAAGGGAUACCAUAAAACCUCGGUCCUGUGUGGAGUGCUUCUAAUCCUAACCCAUGACGGCUACUCCCGAGUCGGACACAUUUGCCGGUCGGCUUCCUCCGUGGUGGAGUAGGAUGGAUGCCAUAUGUUUGUAUUCUCGUGGAUAUUCACUCCCACCGAGCAGAGCGAAGAUACAUUGAGUAGCCAUCAUGGCCCAGACGAUUUGAACCCUACCGAAUCUGUGUUUGCCUAGUUUGAGGAUGAGAUCGGGUGACUGUACGUUCGAGACCUGCCCUUGUGCUUCUGGCGAUUGGACCCUAUGAGGAAGGCACAAGAGGGAGGGAGAGAGAUGCCAGGGACACUUGAAACCUACUUCUAAGGCCUGUGGUGCUUGGGGCUUUGUGUGUGUGUGUGUGUGUCGAGUAGGGAUAUCUUGGUACCAGGAAGAGAAUACAAGGCAGGUAUCUUAGACUGUUCUGCUUAAUAGUCUUAGUUGCUGGGAGAUGACCUAAUUUAUUGAGUGCUGCUCAAUAGCUAGUUUGUUCUGAAAGUGGUGAUAGUGUGUUCUACUUCACCUCAGGUUAGUCAAAGGACUGCCUGGGACUUUGGC